rnacentral:tRNA from 1 species
AAAAACCUAGUUAAAUAUAUAACAAGAGAGUGUCAAUCUCAAAUUGCCGCAAAGCGGCGGUUUUUA